rnacentral:rRNA from 1 species
GUAGGAGGCGAACGUUAUUCGGAUUUACUGGGCGUAAAGGGAGCGUAGGCGGUUCCUUAAGUCAGAUGUGAAAUCUUCUGACUCAAUCAGAAGGGGUCAUUUGAUACUGAGGGACUUGAGAACAGCAGAGGGAAAUGGAAUCCCCAGUGUAGCGGUGAAAUGCGUAGAUAUUGGGGAGAACACCAGUGGCGAAGGCGAUUUUCCAGGUUGUUUCUGACGCUGAGGCUCGAAAGCGUGGGGAGCGAGGCGGGAUUAGAUACCCGCGUAGUCCACGCCCUAAACGGUGGACACUAGACAUGGGAGGUAUCGACCCUUUCUGUGUCGAAGCUAACGCCUUAAGUGUCCCGCCUGGGGGAGUACGGCCGCAAGGCUA